GCGUCCUGCCUCGUGAUCGUCUUCUCACCCUUCACGGCGGCAGGCGGAUGAGGGGGCCCUCCGCGAGGACGUGACUCGCGGAGGGCCUUC
rnacentral:ncRNA from 1 species